AGUGAACGCUGGCGGUAGGCCUAACACAUGCAAGUCGAACGGCAGCACAGUAAGAGCUUGCUCUUACGAAUGGCGAGUGGCGGACGGGUGAGGAAUACAUCGGAAUCUACUUUUUCGUGGCGGAUAACGUAGGGAAACUUACGCUAAUACCGCAUACGACCUACGAGUGAAAGCAUGGGAUCUUCGGACCUUGCGCGAGUGAAUGAGCCGAUGUCGGAUUAGCUAGUUGGUGGGGUGAAGGCCGAACAAGGCGACGAUCCGUAGCGGGUCUGAGAGGAUGAUCAGCCACACUGGAAGUGAGACAGGGUCGAGACUCCGACACGAGGCAGCAGUGGGGAAUCUUGGACAAUGGGGGAAAGCCUGAUCCAGCAAUACCGCGUGAGUGAAGAAGGCCUGCGGGUUGUAGAGCCCUUUUGUAGGGAGAGAAAAGCAGCAGGUUAAUACCCCGCUGUUCUGACGGUACCCAAAGAAUAAGCACCGGCUAACUUCGUG
rnacentral:rRNA from 1 species